UAAGGCUGUUUCUCCACCUCUUGUAUGUAACCAAUCGUUUUAUAUCGCCAUGUAGGAGCUCGACAUGUCCGUCUGGUCUCUUUUCAACUCGUUUCUUUCAUGCAUAUUCAUGCACACCGCACAUGUGUGUGUUUUUGGGGUCAGUCGGCGGAAGAUAGCGGUCUGGAUGAUGCUGGCUGGCUGAGAGAGAGCUGCUCUCCCCGCGGCGGAGGAUCACACACUCAAGCCGAAUGCAACGCAGUCUCAUCUGGAUUCAUAUCCACGGCUCUUUCCGCUCGGGCCGUGACGAUGAAGGAAGCUCUCUCCGCUAAAGGCAGACACAUGCAACGCAGUCUCAGCACGCCCAACAUCCAGCAUAGCUCUUGUUGUACACCGGACGGGACUGGAUGUGAGGAUGAGGACGUAAAGACUCACUGUGACAGCCACAUGGAUGUCACAGAGGCCAGUGUACAUGAAGCUUCACUCAACAGUCCUCUCGCAAAAGACACGCCUGUCAAAAACAAAGAGAAUCAGGGAUCGGUGCCAGAGAGUCCAACGUUCUUCAACUCCAGUCCGUUUAAGGUUCUGUCUCCUCAACCGCCCAAAUUCCUCAAAUCUCUCUUGCCACUGAAGGAGGAGAACAAAGUCAAACGUUCUCUGGAGUCACAGCCUUUGCUGGGACAGGAGAGCAUGUGUUAGUUUGCGGACCCCGACGGCCCCUGGUCCAGACCCAGGGCUCAGAGCGAGGGUCGUGGCACCAGUGACAUCAGCAGCAGCUCAGCCAAUCACAGACAGCCCAGACUGAGCACUGAUCUCACUCACACGCAGCCGCACGCUGCUGAUUCAGAGGAGGAGGAUCCUGACAUGGAUUCAGCCUUUAUCCGUUCCAACGAUCCAUGCCUCUGGUCUCUGGAGCUCCAAAAAAUUCAAGCCUUACAUCCCAGAGGAUUUUGCCAACUUUGAGGUGUACAAUGCCAACCUUGACACCCAAGAGGGGGCCAUGUGUGUGCAGGGAGAAAUGGCGCCGGGGAUCGGAGAGUUAACAGGGACACAGGCUGUGGAAAAAGAAGUGUCCCGUAGUCCCACGGCCAGCUCAUGCACGAGCGGCUACUUCUCCC